AAUGAACGUUGGCGGCAUGGAUUAGGCAUGCAAGUCGAGCGAGAAGUGUAGCAAUACACGGAAAGCGGCGGAAGGGAGAGUAAUACGUGGGAAUCUGCCCUUAGACCUGGGAUAGCAGCGGGAAACUGCUGGUAAUACCAGAUAAUGUCUAUGGACCAAAGGUGUGAUUCCGUCUAGGGAUGAGCCCACGUCCUAUUAGCUAGUUGGUAGGGUAAUGGCCUACCAAGGCGAUGAUGGGUAGCGGGUGUGAGAGCAUGACCCGCCUCACUGGGACUGAGACACUGCCCAGCCACCUACGGGUGGCUGCAGUCGAGAAUCUUCGGCAAUGGGCGCAAGCCUGCCCGAGCGAUGCCGCGUGCGGGAUGAAGGCCUUCGGGUUGUAAACCGCUGUCGAGGGGGAGCAACUUCCAUAGAGUUAUCUUUAUGGAUUGAGUGAUCCCUGGAGGAAGGACGGGCUAAGUUCGUGCCAGCAGCCGCGGUAAUAC
rnacentral:rRNA from 1 species